rnacentral:rRNA from 1 species
CUUGGUCAUUUAGAGGAAGUAAAAGUCGUAACAAGGUCUCCGUUGGUGAACCAGCGGAGGGAUCAUUACCGAGUUUACAACUCCCAAACCCCUGUGAACUUAUACCUCUACUGUUGCUUCGGCGGGUUAUUGCCCCGGGGAAACAGGCGGCCGUCAGGUCCCUGCCCACCCGGAAACAGGCGCCCGCCGGGGGACUCAAACUCUUCUGUAUUUUUUUGUUUACUGUAUACUGUCUGAGUAAAAAUUCAUAAUGAAUCAAAACUUUCAACAACGGAUCUCUUGGUUCUGGCAUCGAUGAAGAACGCAGCGAAAUGCGAUAAGUAAUGUGAAUUGCAGAAUUCAGUGAAUCAUCGAAUCUUUGAACGCACAUUGCGCCCGCCAGUAUUCUGGCGGGCAUGCCUGUUCGAGCGUCAUUUCAACCCUCAAGCCCCCUGUGGACUUGGUGUUGGGGACCGGCGACAAUCACCUGUCGCCGCCCCCUAAAUGAAUUGGCGGCCCCGUCGCGGCCCUCCUCUGCGUAGUAGCAUACACCUCGCAACAGGAGCCCGUCGGUGGCCACUGCCGUAAAACACCCCAAACUUUUUUAGAGUUGACCUCGAAUCAGGUAGGAAUACCCGCUGAACUUAAGCAUAUCAAUAAGCGGAGGA